UACGAAGGGGGCUAGCGUUGUUCGGAAUCACUGGGCGUAAAGCGCGCGUAGGCGGACCGUUAAGUCGGAGGUGAAAUCCUGGAGCUCAACUCCAGAACUGCCUUCGAUACUGGCGGUCUCGAGUCCGGUAGAGGUGAGUGGAACUGCUAGUGUAGAGGUGAAAUUCGUAGAUAUUAGCAAGAACACCAGUGGCGAAGGCGGCUCACUGGACCGGUACUGACGCUGAGGUGCGAAAGCGUGGGGAGCAAACAGG
rnacentral:rRNA from 1 species